UACGAAGGGGGCUAGCGUUGCUCGGAAUCACUGGGCGUAAAGGGCGCGUAGGCGGCCAUUCAAGUCGGGGGUGAAAGCCUGUGGCUCAACCACAGAAUUGCCUUCGAUACUGUUUGGCUUGAGACCGGAAGAGGUAAGUGGAACUGCGAGUGUAGAGGUGAAAUUCGUAGAUAUUCGCAAGAACACCAGUGGCGAAGGCGGCUCUCUGGGACGGUACUGACGCUGAGACGCGAAAGUGUGGGGAGCGAACAGG
rnacentral:rRNA from 1 species